rnacentral:rRNA from 1 species
UACGAGGGGGGCGAGCGUUGUUCGGAAUUAUUGGGCGUAAAGAGCUCGUAGGCGGUUUGUCGCGUCUGCUGUGAAAACUCGGGGCUUAACUCCGGGCCUGCAGUGGGUACGGGCAGACUAGAGUGCGGUAGGGGAGACUGGAAUUCCUGGUGUAGCGGUGAAAUGCGCAGAUAUCAGGAGGAACACCGGUGGCGAAGGCGGGUCUCUGGGCCGUAACUGACGCUGAGGAGCGAAAGCGUGGGGAGCAAACAGG